CACGUAGGCACCAAGCGUUGUCCGGAUUUAUUGGGCGUAAAGAGCUCGUAGGCGGUUUGGUAAGUCGGGUGUGAAAACUCUGGGCUCAACCCAGAGAGGCCACUCGAUACUGCCAUGACUUGAGUACGGUAGGGGAGUGGGGAAUUUCUAGUGUAGCGGUGAAAUGCGCAGAUAUUAGAAGGAACACCAGUGGCGAAGGCGCCACUCUGGGCCGUAACUGACGCUGAGGAGCGAAAGCAUGGGUAGCAAACAGG
rnacentral:rRNA from 2 species